rnacentral:tRNA from 1 species
GCCUGGCUGACUCGGUUGGUAGAGUAUGUGACUUUUGAUCUCAGGGUUAUGAGUUUGAAACCCAUGUUGGGGU